GUUUGCUUCAGCAGCAUAUAACUAAAAUUGGAGCAGUAUAGAGAAGAUUAAUUAGCAUGGCCCUGCACAAGAAUGACACUCAAAAGUCAUGAAGGAUUCUAUAUUUAA
rnacentral:snRNA from 1 species